CCUACGGGUGGCAGCAGUGAGGAAUAUUGGUCAAUGGUCGGAAGACUGAACCAGCCAUGCCGCGUGCAGGAAGAAUGCCUUAUGGGUUGUAAACUGCUUUUAUAUGGGAAGAAUAAGGUGUACGAGUACAUUGAUGACGGUACCAUAUGAAUAAGCAUCGGCUAACUCCGUGCCAGCAGCCGCGGUAAUACGGAGGAUGCGAGCGUUAUUCGGAAUCAUUGGGUUUAAAGGGUCUGUAGGCGGGCUAUUAAGUCAGGGGUGAAAGGUUUCAGCUUAACUGAGAAAUUGCCUUUGAUACUGGUAGUCUUGAAUAUCUGUGAAGUUCUUGGAAUGUGUAGUGUAGCGGUGAAAUGCUUAGAUAUUACACAGAACACCGAUUGCGAAGGCAGGGGACUAACAGACAAUUGACGCUGAGAGACGAAAGCGUGGGGAGCGAACAGGAUUAGAUACCCCAGUAGUC
rnacentral:rRNA from 1 species